rnacentral:rRNA from 1 species
UUCCCAUCGGAGCUUGCUCCACCGGGAAAAGAGGAGUGGCGAACGGGUGAGUAACACGUGGGUAACCUGCCCAUCAGAAGGGGAUAACACUUGGAAACAGGUGCUAAUACCGUAUAACAAUCGAAACCGCAUGGUUUCGUUUUGAAAGGCGCUUUACGGUGCCGCUGAUGGAUGGACCCGCGGUGCAUUAGCUAGUUGGUGAGGUAACGGCUCACCAAGGCCACGAUGCAUAGCCGACCUGAGAGGGUGAUCGGCCACAUUGGGACUGAGACACGGCCCAAACUCCUACGGGAGGCAGCAGUAGGGAAUCUUCGGCAAUGGACGAAAGUCUGACCGAGCAACGCCGCGUGAGUGAAGAAGGUUUUCGGAUCGUAAAACUCUGUUGUUAGAGAAGAACAAGGGUGAGAGUAACUGUUCACCCCUUGACGGUAUCUAACCAGAAAGCCACGGCUAACUACGUGCCAGCAGCCGCGGUAAUACGUAGGUGGCAAGCGUUGUCCGGAUUUAUUGGGCGUAAAGCGAGCGCAGGCGGUUUCUUAAGUCUGAUGUGAAAGCCCCCGGCUCAACCGGGGAGGGUCAUUGGAAACUGGGAGACUUGAGUGCAGAAGAGGAGAGUGGAAUUCCAUGUGUAGCGGUGAAAUGCGUAGAUAUAUGGAGGAACACCAGUGGCGAAGGCGGCUCUCUGGUCUGUAACUGACGCUGAGGCUCG